rnacentral:lncRNA from 1 species
CCUAUGCUUUUACUAGUCUAUGUUUUAGUUUAUAUUUUCUUAUAUUAGCCUAGUUUGUAUUUUAAUUUGCCUUAACCUUCCAUCAGCCGAUAUCCUAGUCUAGAUUUUAUCUUAUGCACUUAGUUUAUCUUUAGACUUUCAUUAGUCUGUAUAUGUUCCUCUUAUGUCUGGGUGCUUGUUAGUUUGUCCUUCAUCUCCAUUCUAUAACUCUACCUAUUAGUCUCUUUACUUUAUUUCCUG